rnacentral:ncRNA from 1 species
UUCGCCCGCGAGAACCGCACGGUCUUCCUGUCCAUCCUCGGCAUCUCGUGGUUCUGGCUCUACGGCGCGCUGUUCCUUGCCCAGUUCCCGGCCUAUGCCAAGUUUGUGCU